rnacentral:rRNA from 1 species
GAUGAACGCUGGCGGCGUGCUUAACACAUGCAAGUCGAACGAAGCACUUUUACAGAUUUCUUCGGAGUGAAGUGAUAGUGACUGAGUGGCGGACGGGUGAGUAACGCGUGGUUAACCUGCCUCACACAGGGGGAUAACAGGUGGAAACGGCUGCUACUACCGCAUAAGCGCCGAGUAACGCAUGGUACGGUCUGAAAAACUCCGGUGGGGUGAGAGGGACCCGCGUGUGAUUAGCUAGUUGGCAAGAUAACGGUCUACCAAGGCGACGCUCAGUAGCCGACCUGAGAGGGAGACCGGCCACAUUGGGACUGAGACACGUGCCAAACUCCUACGGGAGGCAGCAGUUGGGAAUAUUGCACAAUGGGGGAAACCCUGAUGCAGCGACGCCGCGUGAGCGAAGAAGUAUUUCGGUAUGUAAAGCUCUAUCAGCAGGGAAGAAGAAAUGACGGUACCUGACUAAGAAGCACCGGCUAAAUACGUGCCAGCCGCCGCAGUAA